UCCACAAUCCCAUCAAGACUU
rnacentral:miRNA from 1 species